AAGACUAUAGACCUGCGGAGUACCUGCGGAAGGAUCAUUACAGAGUUGAAAAACUCCCAAAACCCUUUGUUUAUCUACCUGUUCAGUUGCUUCGGCAGGCGGCCCCAGGGCGGGGCCUCCGGCCUGCUUAGGCAGGUGCCUGCCGCUGGCGCAAAACAAACUCUUGUUAUAAUAACACUCUGAGUCACAAAAAAAUGAAUCAAAACUUUCAACAAUGGAUCUCUAGAUCGGAAGAGCACA
rnacentral:misc_RNA from 1 species